rnacentral:rRNA from 1 species
GAUGAACGCUAGCGGCAGGCCUAACACAUGCAAGUCGAGGGGUAGAGUUCUUCGGAACUUGAGACCGGCGCACGGGUGCGUAACGCGUAUGCAAUCUACCUUAUACAGGGGAAUAGCCCAGAGAAAUUUGGAUUAAUGCCCCAUAGUGUUAUCGAAUCGCAUGGUUUGAUAACUAAAGUUCCAACGGUAUAAGAUGAGCAUGCGUCCAUUAGUUAGUUGGUAAGGUAACGGCUUACCAAGACAAUGAUGGGUAGGGGUCCUGAGAGGGAGAUCCCCCACACUGGUACUGAGACACGGACCAGACUCCUACGGGAGCAGCAGUGAGGAAUAUUGGUCAAUGGGGCGCAAGCCUGAACCAGCCAUGCCGCGUGCAGGAAGAC